CACGUAGGGGGCGAGCGUUGUCCGGAUUUAUUGGGCGUAAAGAGCUCGUAGGCGGUUCCGUAAGUCGUGAAGUCAAAUCUCUGGGCUCAACCCAGAAUCGCUUCCGAUACUGCGGUGACUGGAGUCCGGUAGGGGAGUGUGGAAUUCCUGGUGUAGCGGUGAAAUGCGCAGAUAUCAGGAGGAACACCAACAGCGAAGGCAGCACUCUGGGCCGGUACUGACGCUGAGGAGCGAAAGCAUGGGGAGCGAACAGG
rnacentral:rRNA from 1 species